GUCUACAGCCAUACCACCCUGAACAUGCCUGAUCUCACCAGCUAAGCAGGGUCGAGCCUGGUUAGUACUUGGAUGGGAGACCGCCUGGGAAUACGGGGCGCUGUAGGCU
rnacentral:rRNA from 1 species